AACCGAGUCUUAAUUGGGCGUUAAGUUGCAGGGUAUAGACCCGAAACCCGGUGAUCUAGCCAUGGGCAGGUUGAAGGUUGGGUAACACUAACUGGAGGACCGAACCGACUAAUGUUGAAAAAUUAGCGGAUGACCUGUGGCUGGGGGUGAAAGGCCAAUCAAACCGGGAGAUAGCUGGUUCUCCCCGAAAGCUAUUUAGGUAGCGCCUCGUGAAUUCAUCUCCGGGGGUAGAGCACUGUUUCGGCUAGGGGGCCAUCCCGGCUUACCAACCCGAUGCAAACUGCGAAUACCGGAGAAUGUUAUCACGGGAGACACACGGCGGGUGCUAACGUCCGUCGUGAAGAGGGAAACAACCCAGACCGCCAGCUAAGGUCCCAAAGUCAUGGUUAAGUGGGAAACGAUGUGGGAAGGCCCAGACAGCCAGGAUGUUGGCUUAGAAGCAGCCAUCAUUUAAAGAAAGCGUAAUAGCUCACUGGUCGAGUCGGCCUGCGCGGAAGAUGUAACGGGGCUAAACCAUGCACCGAAGCUGCGGCAGCGACACUCAGGUGUUGUUGG
rnacentral:rRNA from 1 species